GGGCUGCCUUCAGUGGUAGAUCAUCUGCUUUGCAUGCAUAAGGUCCCAGGUUCAAAUCCUGGCAGCUUCA